GUGCCAGCAGCCGCGGUAAUACGGAGGAUGCGAGCGUUAUCCGGAUUUAUUGGGUUUAAAGGGUGCGCAGGCGGGCUGUUAAGUCAGCGGUGAAAUCUCCGGGCUCAACUCGGAAACUGCCGUUGAUACUGGCGGCCUUGAGUCAUGUCGAGGAUGGCGGAAUGCAGCGUGUAGCGGUGAAAUGCUUAGAUAUGCUGCAGAACUCCGAUUGCGAAGGCAGCUGUCCAGAGAUGUACUGACGCUGAGGCACGAAAGCAUGGGUAUCAAACAGGAUUAGAUACCCUGGUAGUCCAUGCAGUAAACGAUGAGCGCUCGCGGUUUGCAGGUUACUGUGAGCCGCUUAGCGAAAGCGUUAAGCGCUCCACCUGGGGAGUACGCCGGCAACGGUGAAACUCAAAGGAAUUGACGGGGGCCCGCACAAGCGGAGGAACAUGUGGUUUAAUUCGAUGAUACGCGAGGAACCUUACCCGGGCUUGAAAUGCGGACGACGUGCCCAGAGAUGGGCAUUCCUGGCAACAGGCGUCCGUGUAGGUGCUGCAUGGUUGUCGUCAGCUCGUGCCGUGAGGUGUCGGCUUAAGUGCCAUAACGAGCGCAACCCUCGCCGACAGUUACCAUCAGGUGAUGCUGGGGACUCUGUCGGGACUGCCACCGCAAGGUGCGAGGAAGGCGGGGAUGACGUCAAAUCAGCACGGCCCUUACGUCCGGGGCUACACACGUGUUACAAUGGGCGGGACAGAGUGAUGCCAGGCGGUGACGCCGAGCCGAUCAUGAAACCCGCCCCUAGUUCGGACUGGAGUCUGCAACCCGACUCCACGAAGCUGGAUUCGCUAGUAAUCGCGCAUCAGCCAUGGCGCGGUGAAUACGUUCCCGGGCCUUGUACACACCGCCCGU
rnacentral:rRNA from 1 species